rnacentral:rRNA from 1 species
AGCAGUAGGGAAUCUUCCGCAAUGGACGAAAGUCUGACGGAGCAACGCCGCGUGAGUGAUGAAGGUUUUCGGAUCGUAAAGCUCUGUUGUUAGGGAAGAACAAGUGCCGUUCGAAUAGGGCGGCACCUUGACGGUACCUAACCAGAAAGCCACGGCUAACUACGUGCCAGCAGCCGCGGUAAUACGUAGGUGGCAAGCGUUGUCCGGAAUUAUUGGGCGUAAAGCGCGCGCAGGUGGUUCCUUAAGUCUGAUGUGAAAGCCCACGGCUCAACCGUGGAGGGUCAUUGGAAACUGGGGGACUUGAGUGCAGAAGAGGAAAGUGGAAUUCCAAGUGUAGCGGUGAAAUGCGUAGAUAUUUGGAGGAACACCAGUGGCGAAGGCGACUUUCUGGUCUGUAACUGACACUGAGGCGCGAAAGCGUGGGGAGCAAACAGGAUUAGAUACCCCUGGUAGAA